rnacentral:rRNA from 1 species
GGAUGACGUCAAGUCAGCAUGCCCCUUACGUCCUGGGCUACACACGUACUACAAUGGUAGGGACAGAGGGCAGCCAACCCGCGAGGUGGAGCAAAUCCCUAAAAGCCAUCCCAGUUCGGAUUGCAGGCUGAAACCCGCCUGUAUGAAGUUGGAAUCGCUAGUAAUCGCGGACCAGCAUGCCGCGGUGAAUACGUUCCCGGGCCUUGUACACACCGCCCGUCACACCAUGAGAGUCGGGAACACCCGAAGUCCGUAGCCUAACCGCAAGGAGGGCGCGGCCGAAGGUGGGUUCGAUAAUUGGGGUGAAGUCGUAACAAGGUAGCCGUAUCGGAAGGUGCGGCUGGAUCACCUGUCGACGCGGCCG